AACGUUGCCAUCUUAAAAGAACAGACUUUUCAUUCCUUUAAUCUAAAGCUAUUAUCAAUUCGAAUAGACUCUAACGGAUGUUGUUAUUACAAAAGAUUGUAAACAAAAAUUUAAAAGUUAUGAUAAGAUAAUAAGUUGGGACAGUUUUUUUUUCUUUUUUUAAGAAAAAUUGUAUUUUUAAGCGGUUAAACAAUUAUGUACAUUUUGUAACUACUACAUAUUUUUAAGAUAUCUACCACUAUGUCAAGUUGGAAAGAAUGGGUAGAUGAAAUUAUGAAAUGGGCUGCCGAAAAUCCCUGGGAGUUUAUUUACUAUGUUCUGCUUGGACUAUCGCCUUUCUUCCUUGCCAGCACAAUUUUGUCAUGGAGAUUAGCUAAACAUAUUGAAGCAGAAGAACGAAGAAAAAUAAAAAAAUCGAAGAAAAAUGCUAACAUGGCUGAAAUAAGACGUGCAAAAAAUGAUUGAGGAAUUUUUUUGAUAUUACAUUUAUAUAAAUUGAUGUAUUUAUUUUUCAAAAUGUUUAUAUGUUGAUGAGUGAAAAUGAUGAUUAAGUUUGUAAUCUUAGAAGUUUUAUGAUGCAGUUUUAUUUAUUUUCAUUAUUUAAUAUAAUAUGUGCAUCAAAUAUGCGUAAUGUGCAAGAACUGCAUUUUUUAGUCGUAAUGUAUGUAUAAGUCAUGAAUAACUUCCAAUACUUUAGUCUCAAUAUCAAGUUUAAAAUAAAAUUUUUGUACUAUACAAAAUUCACAAUUCAAAAACAUUCACAUUUAAAAAUUCAUUUGAAAGCUUAUUUGCUUAAAUUAAAAAUUAAAUCAAGUUUUUUCAAGCGAUAAAUGCAUUAUUUUAUUAUAUAAUUUUUUUUAUUACAGCUUACUCAAUUAUGUUUGUAUUUGACUAUUAAAAGCAAAUCCAGUAUCUAUGGAUUUUUAGAGAGAAAAUGAAUUGAUAGAAUUUAUCAUACACUUCUUAAUCAAUUUUAUUGUGUAAUUUAUUUUUGUAUUGUGAUUCUUUAAUCAAUAAAAUUUUAUGAAUGCUUAA